AUUGAACGCUGGCGGCAUGCCUUACACAUGCAAGUCGAACGGUAACAGGUCUUCGGAUGCUGACGAGUGGCGAACGGGUGAGUAAUACAUCGGAACGUGCCUAGUAGUGGGGGAUAACUACUCGAAAGAGUGGCUAAUACCGCAUGAGAUCUACGGAUGAAAGCAGGGGAUCGCAAGACCUUGUGCUACUAGAGCGGCCGAUGGCAGAUUAGGUAGUUGGUGGGAUAAAAGCUUACCAAGCCGACGAUCUGUAGCUGGUCUGAGAGGACGAUCAGCCACACUGGGACUGAGACACGGCCCAGACUCCUACGGGAGGCAGCAGUGGGGAAUUUUGGACAAUGGGCGAAAGCCUGAUCCAGCAAUGCCGCGUGCAGGAUGAAGGCCUUCGGGUUGUAAACUGCUUUUGUACGGAACGAAAAGCCCCGGGUUAAUACCCUGGGGUCAUGACGGUACCGUAAGAAUAAGCACCGGCUAACUACGUGCCAGCCGCCGCUGUAA
rnacentral:rRNA from 1 species